rnacentral:lncRNA from 1 species
GCUAAGGCUCCUCCCCGACGAACCCCAUUCCUGCUUUCCCGCUCAAAUGUUGCAUUUUCUAAGACCUCCCUGGCCCGCCAUACGCCGAUCCUGAACCUACGAAAACCCAAGACUGCGGGCACGGUGGCUCAUGCCUGUAAUCCCAGCACUUUGGGAGGCCGAGGCGGGCAGAUCACGAGGUCAAGAAGUCGAGACCAGCCUUGCUAACAUGGCGAAACCCUGACUCUACUGAAAAUACAAAAAUUAGCUGGGCGUGAUGGCGUGCGCGCCUGUAGUCCCAGCUGCUCGGGAGGCUGAGGUAGGAGAAUCGCUUCAAUCCGGGAGGUGGAGGUUGCGGUAAGCAGAGAUUGCGCCACUGCACUCUAGCCUGGCGACAGAGACUCCUUCAAAAACAACAACAACAACAACAACAACAACAAAACAAAACCUCCCAAGACCCUAGUGGGCAGACACACAGCCAGCCAGACAUGGAGAGGAGCACAUUAGCAGAAGAAGACGCAAGUGGCUGGUCCUCGAGAGGACGUUGAGAGGAGCAUGCCAGCAGAAGAGCACACAACGACAGGCACCGACACACCACCGGCAGGCCAUGCACCAGCAGAAUGAUGCGGAGUUUGACGGGGCAGUCAGAGAAGAGCCUGGGCCGCCAAGGGGCCCGACUCCAGGGGAAAACCAUCUCCCUUCUGGCUCCCCCAUCUGCUGAGAGCUACUUCUACUCAAUAAAACCUUGCACUCAUUCUCCAAGCCCACGUGUAAUCCGAUUCUUCAGUGUCACCUCCCAAAUGUGGAAAUGCAUUGUCUUUCUUCUUUCCUAGACCAGUGGUCCUCAAACUUGAGCAGGUUUAAGCAUGGUCAUAGCAGAAUCAAUGUGCUCACCCCAUCAUGAAAAAAAAAAUGUGUUAAUGAAUUGAUUACUACUUUGAGUGUGCCAUAUUUUAAAGACGAAGAGAAACUAAUCAAGUUAGUUUUUAUUUGGUCAGAGGCUUGUUUGUGCCUGCUUAUCUAAAGUUAUAAAGGCCCCAAAUAUGGCUCCGUGUUGCAGAGGGACUGUCUCUUCUUAUAUCGACAGAGCCCAUAUUCACAAUGUAUCACACUUACCUCGAUGUAUUGUCUGGAGUUUCCUAGGCUGUGUCCUUUGCCUGGAAUGCUCUCUCUUGCUGGCUGGCUUCUUCCCACCAGCUGUGGCCAGGGCUGCUCCUUAUUCCUUCGUCAAAACUCCGUCUGCUGGGUGUGGUGCCUCACACCUGUAAUCCCAGCACUUUGAGAGGCCAAGGUGGGAGUAUCGUUUGAGCCCAGGAGUUCAAGACAAGCCUGGACAACAGAGCAAGACCCUGUCUCUACCAAAGAAAAGAAAAGAAAAGAAAAGAAACAGCCACUUUCUCUUCCAUGAGCCAGUUUAUGUUUUCUUCACGGCAUUUGUUACAAAUAUGAAAUUGAAAAUUCAGCCAAUAAAACUGUGCUAAAAAGUUUGACACUAAGAAAAAGAAAGGCCCCUCUCCUGGUGAGUUUCACUGUGAGAUGGCUGGAAAUGUUGAUUGGUGGAUCUGUGUUUGUUCGUUAGUUUGGGGCCUGGACACUGAGAGUUAAGUCCACUUAGAGAUGUCAGGGAACCCAUACUUUUGGUUAAAAGCCAAAAGGGAAUGUGGGGAGGGAGUUACGGACUGAAAUAGGCGGUAGGGUUUUCUCCCUGUGUGUCCCCCUUUCUCUGUCCCUUGUUUGGUUUAUGCAUAGAUUUUUGUUGUGUAUCCUUCAAUCCCUUCCACAUUACCCUUCUCUCUUUCACCCUUAAACUGAGAUUUAGAACUAAAAUGAGAGUUUACGAAGGUACUGGCUAUAAUUAUUUUAUUUACUAUUUAUUAAUUUUUUUGAGACAGGAUUUCUCUCUGUUGCCCAGGCUGGAGUACAGUGGUGCAAUCAUGGCUCACUGCAACUUUGAGCUCCCAGGCUCAUGCAAUUCUGCCACCUGUGCCUCCUGAGUAGCUGGGACGACAGGCACAUGCCACCAUGCCCAGCUAAUCUUUUUACUUUUUGUAGAAAUAGGGUCUCACUAUGUUGCCUAGGCCGGCCUUGGACUCCUGGGCUCAAGCAAUUCUCAUGCCUCAACCUCCCAAAGUGCUAGGAUUACAGGUGUGAACCACCGCGCCUGGCCUAUAAUUAUGAAAAAAAACCCCACUAUUUUCUGAUAUGAUUUUUAAUUUAUUCCUCUAAUAUAAUAUUCUAUUACUCAGGUUUACUUUAGACAAAAACUACCUCCUUUGCUUACUAUUUUUAAAUGGUUAUUGAAGGAGUCAAUAGCCUGCAAAUAUGUGCAUUUCUUUGACCCAGAAACUUUGCUUCUAGGAAUUUGUAUUAAGGAAAUAAUUCAACCAGUAGGUAAAGAACUUGUAUAAGCCUGUUUAUUCUAGACCUGUUCCAUCUUAUUGAAAAAUUCAUACACAACCUAAAUGUCCAACAAUAAUGUUGAUUAAAUAAAUGUAAGUAUAUCCAUACAAUUAAAUGUUAUACAGCUAUUAAAAUUAAUGAUGUCAGCAGGGCACAGUGGCUCACGCCUGUAAUCCUAGCACUGCCGAGGCGGGCAGAUCAGUUGAGGUCAGGAGUUUGAGACCAGCCUGGCCAACAUGAUGAUGUUGGCUGGGCGCAGUGGCUCACGCCUGUAAUUCCAGCACUGCUGAGGCGGGCAGAUCACUUGAGGUCAGGAGUUUGAGACCAGCCUGGCCAACAUGGCGAAACCCCGUCUCUACUAAAAAUACAAAAAUUAGCCAGGCAUGAUAGCACAUGCUCGUAAUCCCAGCUACUCAGGAGGCUGAGGCAAGAGAAUUGCUUGAACCCGGGGGGCAGAGGUUGCAAUGAGCCAAGAUCACGCCACUGCACUCCAGCCUGGGUG